UAUAAGCCUACUCCUAAGAUCCAUACGUUGU
rnacentral:piRNA from 1 species